GGUUAAGCGACUAAGCGUACACGGUGGAUGCCCUGGCAGUCAGAGGCGAUGAAGGACGUGCUAAUCUGCGAUAAGCGUCGGUAAGGUGAUAUGAACCGUUAUAACCGGCGAUUUCCGAAUGGGGAAACCCAGUGUGUUUCGACACACUAUCAUUAACUGAAUCCAUAGGUUAAUGAGGCGAACCGGGGGAACUGAAACAUCUAAGUACCCCGAGGAAAAGAAAUCAACCGAGAUUCCCCCAGUAGCGGCGAGCGAACGGGGAGGAGCCCAGAGCCUGAAUCAGUGUGUGUGUUAGUGGAAGCGUCUGGAAAGGCGCGCGAUACAGGGUGACAGCCCCGUACACAAAAAUGCACAUACUGUGAGCUCGAUGAGUAGGGCGGGACACGUGGUAUCCUGUCUGAAUAUGGGGGGACCAUCCUCCAAGGCUAAAUACUCCUGACUGACCGAUAGUGAACCAGUACCGUGAGGGAAAGGCGAAAAGAACCCCGGCGAGGGGAGUGAAAAAGAACCUGAAACCGUGUACGUACAAGCAGUGGGAGCCUCUUUUAUGG
rnacentral:rRNA from 1 species